AAACGCCUUUGCCACUCACUGAGGUUGCUGUUGUUUUCCGGUCCGGUCCGGUUGGUAUCGGUAAACAGCGAUCGGCUGAAGUUUCCCAGGCGCUCCCGGACUGGAUCAGGCAGUUCCAUGGCUUCGCUCUAGGGCCGGUGUAGCCCACUAGCCAGUCAGCCACAGUUCCCAGUGGAGUCCCGGUACUCUCCCCCUCCCCUAACUCCUGCCGGCGGUGGUUCCUAUGGCAACCCCGGGGCGGGGCCGCAGGCCAGACCCUGACGCCUGCGCGUCUAGGGCACGCCCUUCACCUGGAUCCUAUAGGGAAGCUGUCAGAGAGAAGAUUCACAAUUUCAAUCUUUCAAGUCCAUGAAAGGAGAUCAAGAAGCCAUCAUGUGUGGAAUCAGGACCUGGGUUCAAAUUUGGCCUCAGACACUGGGCAAGACACUUAACCCUGAUUGCUCUAGCCCUUGCCACUCUUCUGUCUCAGAACUGAUUUACCAAGUGAUAAUAGUAAGAAAGAAAGGAAGGAAGGAAGGAAGAAAGAAAGAAACCAUGCUAUAGAACUUCAACCAUGUUCCUGUUACCAGUUUACUGCACUAGAAACUUUGGACAAUUUCCUCUUGGAUAAUAUCUGGGAAUAUCUCUCUUGAUUGAGCUGAGUUAUAUGACUCCCAGAUGAAGAGCUGAUUCAAUUUAUAUUGUCUAGCAUAUAUAGUAUGUUUCCUCUGAUUUCUCUUUUGUCAUCAACUUGGAUAAAUGAAUUUAUAUGCUAUGUUUGUUCAUUGUGGAACUGGCAUUUGGUUGUAAAAGUCAAGCCUUUAAUAUAAAGGCUUUUAAUAUAAAGCUUGGGCUGUCCUUUCCCAGUUUAUGAAUGGUCAUCCAGCUGGAACCUAAAAAUUGUCUCCCCUAGACUAAUACUAUUUAAGGGAGUAGAUAGGAUAUACUUCUCAUCCAGUACCCCUUUUCUCUGAGGAGAUCAGAAUACCAGUUUCUGGUCCAAACUUCUCACUUUCCUUCUUGGCAGGAAUCAUCCCUAGAAGAAGGGUGAAGUUAGGAGACACUAAAGAUUUCUAUUUCUCCCACUCAUCAAGACACAUCUAGGCAGACCAAUGUGGACAUAUAUAAACCUAGAUGGGGGGAAAAACAGCACUCAAUCCAACACCUGAUUAUGUAAAAUAACAAUUAAAAUGCUUUUGAAAAAAACAAAUUUACAGACUCCAGGUUAAAACCUGCAGCUCUAAAGAUGUAACAGGAUUUAAAAUCUCAAAUAUUAUUUAGGCUAUUCGGAAAAAAACAACACUAAGAGGAAGUAUAAUAGUAGAUAAAACUUCCCUCCUACUCCCUACCCAUCGGAGGCAAUAUAGUAAGGCAGGUAAGUGUAUGGGCUCUGUAAGAGUCAGAUAUUAUUGUUCAAACUACAGCUCUAUUGUUUAUUAGGAAGCUAGGUGGGGUAGUGGAGAGAGCACUGAAACUGGAACAAGGAAGAUCUGAAUUCAAAUCCUGUCCCAGUAACUAGUUGAGAAAGUCACUUAACUUAUCUCAGUUUCCUCAUCUAUAAAGUGGAGAUAAUAACAUCCACCUUCUAGGGUUAUUGGGAGGACAAAAUAAAAUAUUUGUAAAGUGCUUUGCAAACAUUAGUGUUGUAUAAAUGCUAGCUAUUAUCAUUCUCACUACCUGAAUGAUUGGUUAAGUCAUUUAAAAUAUCUGAAUUUCAGUUUCUCAUCUGUAUAAUGAGAUUAGACUAAUUUGCCUCAAUGAUCCUCUUCCAGCUCUAACAUUAUGACUUUCCAAUUCAUUAUUUAUUACAAGAAUAAUGCUAAAAUGAAGACAUACUUUUAAAAGAAUAUUUUUAAAGUUACUCAAAGGGUAACAUUAAAAGUAUGACUAUAUCUCCCAACCAAAAUUGUAAAAUGGACUUUAAAGCAUUUUGCAGAAUUUUGGUCAGUUUUGGAAAUAAUGUGUAUAUAUGUAUUAAAAUGCCUUUAGAUUGAUUCAUAUCAUACACAUUAUGAUGACUCUCACUCAUCUUAGAUGUCUCAAAAUAUUUUCUUCACAUUAGCAAGAGAUAAUUACCAACACUUUAAAUCACUGUCAAAAUAUUUGCUAUUCACAAUCCCAUACAAAGAGUUAUAAAUCAGGUUAUGAAUUACAGACACAGCCAAACCACAUUAGAAUAAAAAUCUUUUUCACACCACAUUAGGUGGUUUAAGAACCUCUUUAAUGUUUUGAUUUCAAAGACUUUCACAUUGAACAUUUUAUUAGAAAAUUAUUUUCCUUUAAAAUGGUUUGUGUUAUAGGUUCUAUGAUCUGUGAUAUAUUCUUUCACCUACCUACCAUGCUGUUCACUUUCUGUAUCAAUCAAAUGAUAAGCUUUUCCUGUGUAUCAAACUAUGUGAGAAAUAGCACUAAAGUUGAAAAAAGAUCAGUAGAACACCAAGAUGCUUUUUAAAAAAAGUUUAGCUUUGUCAAAUGGAUUAUAUGUGAAAUUUCAGCAAAUUUGGCUUCAUAAGUAAGAAAUACUAUUUUUAUUAUGAAUAGCUUUUCCCCUAAUGCUAAUAUUAAGUUACUGUGCUAUGUGACUUGUAGACCAUUUCUUAUAGAGAAUGUUUCUUUUUCUUUCACCUUUUAUUGAAAGCAAUUAAAUUUGGUUCCCCUCCUAGGUUUUCCUUUUUUUUGUUGUUCAUUUAACACUAGGCUUUUGCCUCGUAAAGUUUGCUUUGCAAUGCACAAACAUCUUAAAUGUUGAUCACCAGCCACAUGUGAAAGGUUUAAUAAGCAGAAACCUGAGGUGCCAUCACAUUAGGACAAAAUGUUUCCGGAUAUGAGACAGGAUUAAAAUAAUAAGCAUUGUUUAUUAUGUUUACCCCAAUCAUUGUAAAUCUCCAACUUGUUCUAAAAUUUAAUUUACAAUGGGAAAUGGAAAGUUACAACAUUUAUCUUACGAAUUUUGAUUAUAUAUUAUGUCAAAAGUCUUUGUUUCAAUCUAUCUACAUAUUAGCAAUAGGUAAAACAAAGUUACUGAAAAUUUUGCCUUUGAGUUUGAAAUUAGAAAGUGAUUGGAUCUCUGUUUCACCACUAACUUGGUAGACACUGGCUGUGCUCCCAGACUGAUGCUCCUGGGGGCUCUGGCAAAUAAGACCAAGUAAUAAACACCAGAUGUAGUAUCUAAUAAAAUCAAAUAUCAG